UGUAUUUUUAGUAUAAUAAGUAUGGCAAAUUUAGGUUUUGUUGGUUAUUAAUAUAA
rnacentral:tRNA from 1 species